GAGCGGUAACAGGUGUAGCAAUACAUGCUGACGAGCGGCGAACGGGUGAGUAAUGCUUCGGAAUCUGCCCAAUGGUGGGGAAUAACCAGCCGAAAGGUUGGCUAAUACCGCAUGAGCCCUACGGGGGAAAGCAGGGGAUCGCAAGACCUUGCGCCGAUGGAUGAGCCGAAGCCGGAUUAGCUAGUUGGUAGGGUAACGGCCCACCAAGGCGACGAUCAGUAGCUGGUCUGAGAGGAUGAUCAGCCUCACUGGGACUGAGACACGGCCCAGACUCCUACGGGAGGCAGCAGUGGGGAAUAUUGGACAAUGGGCGCAAGCCUGAUCCAGCCAUGCCGCGUGGGUGAUGAAGGCCCUAGGGUUGUAAAGCCCUUUCGGCGGGGAAGAUAAUGACGGUACCCGCAGAAGAAGCCCCGGCUAACUUCGUG
rnacentral:rRNA from 1 species